rnacentral:rRNA from 1 species
UGGGGAAUAUUGGACAAUGGGGGGAACCCUGAUCCAGCGACGCCGCGUGAGUGAAGAAGUAUUUCGGUAUGUAAAGCUCUAUCAGCAGGGAAGAAAAUGACGGUACCUGACUAAGAAGCCCCGGCUAACUACGUGCCAGCAGCCGCGGUAAUACGUAGGGGGCAAGCGUUAUCCGGAUUUACUGGGUGUAAAGGGAGCGCAGACGGCUUGGCAAGUCUGAAGUGAAAGCCCGGGGCUUAACCCCGGGACUGCUUUGGAAACUGUGAAGCUAGAGUGUCGGAGAGGUAAGUGGAAUUCCCAGUGUAGCGGUGAAAUGCGUAGAUAUUGGGAGGAACACCGGUGGCGAAGGCGGCUUACUGGACGAUAACUGACGUUGAGGCUCGAAGGCGUGGGGAGCAAACAGGAUUAGACACCCUGGUAGUCCACGCGGUAAACGAUGAAUACUAGGUGUCGGGGGACAUAGUCUUUCGGUGCCGCCGCUAACGCAUUAAGUAUUCCACCUGGGGAGUACGUUNNCAAGAAUG